rnacentral:rRNA from 1 species
UACGUAGGUGGCAAGCGUUGUCCGGAUUUACUGGGCGUAAAGAGCGCGCAGGCGGUCGUAUAAGUCGAAUGUGAAAGCCCCCGGCUCAACUGGGGAGGGUCAUUCGAUACUGUUCGACUCGAAGGCAGGAGAGGGAAGUGGAAUUCCGGGUGUAGUGGUGAAAUGCGUAGAUAUCCGGAGGAACACCAGUGGCGAAGGCGGCGAUCUGGGAAGAUACUGACGCUGAGGUGCGAAAGCGUGGGGAGCAAACAGG